rnacentral:rRNA from 1 species
UGACGACGAGGCACUACGGUGCUGAAGCAACAAAUGCCCUGCUUCCAGGAAAAGCCUCUAAGCAUCAGGUAACACGAAAUCGUACCCCAAACCGACACAGGUGGUCAGGUAGAGAAUACCAAGGCGCUUGAGAGAACUCGGGUGAAGGAACUAGGCAAAAUGGUGCCGUAACUUCGGGAGAAGGCACGCUGACACGUAGGUGAAGUGAUUUACUCAUGGAGCUGAAGUCAGUCGAAGAUACCAGCUGGCUGCAACUGUUUAUUAAAAACACAGCACUGUGCAAACACGAAAGUGGACGUAUACGGUGUGACGCCUGCCCGGUGCCGGAAGGUUAAUUGAUGGGGUCAGCGCAAGCGAAGCUCCUGAUCGAAGCCCCGGUAAACGGCGGCCGUAACUAUAACGGUCCUAAGGUAGCGAAAUUCCUUGUCGGGUAAGUUCCGACCUGCACGAAUGGCGUAAUGAUGGCCAGGCUGUCUCCACCCGAGACUCAGUGAAAUUGAACUCGCUGUGAAGAUGCAGUGUACCCGCGGCAAGACGGAAAGACCCCGUGAACCUUUACUAUAGCUUGACACUGAACAUUGAGCCUUGAUGUGUAGGAUAGGUGGGAGGCUUUGAAGUGUGGACGCCAGUCUGCAUGGAGCCGACCUUGAAAUACCACCCUUUAAUGUUUGAUGUUCUAACGUGGACCCGUAAUCCGGGUUGCGGACAGUGUCUGGUGGGUAGUUUGACUGGGGCGGUCUCCUCCUAAAGAGUAACGGAGGAGCACGAAGGUUGGCUAAUCCUGGUCGGACAUCAGGAGGUUAGUGCAAUGGCAUAAGCCAGCUUGACUGCGAGCGUGACGGCGCGAGCAGGUGCGAAAGCAGGUCAUAGUGAUCCGGUGGUUCUGAAUGGAAGGGCCAUCGCUCAACGGAUAAAAGGUACUCCGGGGAUAACAGGCUGAUACCGCCCAAGAGUUCAUAUCGACGGCGGUGUUUGGCACCUCGAUGUCGGCUCAUCACAUCCUGGGGCUGAAGUAGGUCCCAAGGGUAUGGCUGUUCGCCAUUUAAAGUGGUACGCGAGCUGGGUUUAGAACGUCGUGAGACAGUUCGGUCCCUAUCUGCCGUGGGCGCUGGAGAACUGAGGGGGGCUGCUCCUAGUACGAGAGGACCGGAGUGGACGCAUCACUGGUGUUCGGGUUGUCAUGCCAAUGGCACUGCCCGGUAGCUAAAUGCGGAAGAGAUAAGUGCUGAAAGCAUCUAAGCACGAAACUUGCCCCGAGAUGAGUUCUCCCUGAGACUUAGAGUCUCCUGAAGGAACGUUGAAGACGACGACGUUGAUAGGCCGGGUGUGUAAGCGCAGCGAUGCGUUGAGCUAACCGGUACUAAUGAACCGUGAGGCUUAACCUUACA